AUGGCUUCUCCCUUGUUCUUGUGCAUCCUCCUGGUCAUAUUUGGCAGCUACGUUUCCAUUUCUGCCGCAGGCGACGGUAAGCAAAGCUUCGUUGUGGUGUCAACCAGGUCAUUUCAGACACAAGAUGUCUGCUCCACAUCGACAGUGACCCCGCGGCUAAACAGCGCCACUGUGCCGGUGGUGCACAGGCACGGACCCUGCGCCAAGUCGCAGUCCACCGACAAGCCAUCUUUCGCCGAGGCGCUUCACCGAAGCCGCGUCCGUGCAGACUACAUCAUGAGCUGGGGCAGGAGCUGGACGAGGACAAGCGACCUGUCGUGGGUUCAGUGCGCGCCAUGCAACUCCACCCAGUGCUACCAGCAGAAGGAUCCCUUGUUUGACCCACGAAAGUCCUCCACGUACGCCCCCGUCCCCUGCGGCUCCGACGUGUGCAACAGCCUCCAGUCCGACCACUUCGACAACGGCUGCACCAACGACGGCACCGAAUGUGGGUUUCGAGUCGAGUACGGAGACGGAUCAAAGACCAAAGGCGUGUACAGCAACGAGGCGCUGACACUGGCGCCCAGCGUCGUCAUCAACGACUUCCAUUUCGGCUGUGGAUACAAGCAGGCUGGGCCCAACGACAAGUUCGACGGCCUGCUCGGCCUCGGCGGCGCGCCCGAGUCGCUCCCGGUUCAGACCUCCGCGGUCUACGGCGGCGCCUUCUCGUACUGCCUCCCGCCUGUGAGCAGCGGCACCGGGUUCCUUGCCCUCCGCGCGCCCACCAACACCUCAGCCUUCUCAUUCACGCCCAUGACCCCCUUCAUGGACUACGAUACCUUCUACACGGUGAAGCUCACCUACCAAAAGAAAAGGUGGAGAGCACAACGCAGCAGUGCCCCCCAUGAGGGAUCAGCCACAUUGCACUGGGCAGCCAAAUGGCCCCCGUGCCGCCAGCAAGUCUCCAGUUCUAACAUUCGAGCAUAUCAAGUUAUUACAUUCAUCCAAGCUAAAGGCCUCAAACUAUGCAAAAGACAGGGCAAAAUAAAACAAAGAAACAAGCAGUCCAGUCACCCUCUAGGAAGAGAUCUUGUCAUUCCGGCCGUGCCACAUUUAUUCUUCAUCCUUGAGAGGCCGCAUAAACUUCACUUGCUACCCGUUCUAGUAAUCUUGCCCCCAGCUCCAACACAUUUCUUUGCUGCUCCUUUAUCUGCAAAUUAG
rnacentral:rRNA from 1 species